AUUGAACGCUGGCGGCAUGCUUUACACAUGCAAGUCGAACGGCAGCGCGGGCUUCGGCCUGGCGGCGAGUGGCGAACGGGUGAGUAAUGCAUCGGAACGUGCCCAGUAGUGGGGGAUAUCCCGGCGAAAGCCGGAUUAAUACCGCAUACGACCUGAGGGUGAAAGCGGGGGACCGAAAGGCCUCGCGCUAUUGUAGCGGCCGAUGUCGGAUUAGCUAGUUGGUGGGGUAAAGGCUUACCAAGGCGACGAUCCGUAGCUGGUCUGAGAGGACGACCAGCCACAAUGGGACUGAGACACGGCCCAGACUCCUACGGGAGGCAGCAGUGGGGAAUUUUGGACAAUGGGGGCAACCCUGAUCCAGCCAUGCCGCGUGCGGGAAGAAGGACUUCGGGUUGUAAACCGCAUUUGUUCGGGAAGAAAUCCUCUGGGCUAAUACCCCGGGGGGAUGACGGUACCGGAAGAAUAAGCACCGGCUAACUACGU
rnacentral:rRNA from 1 species